rnacentral:misc_RNA from 1 species
CUCCUCUCGACCUUGGCGCUCUCUCUCUCUCUGUGUGCGAGUGUGUAUAUUUGAAACUCUCUCUGAUUUUUCGUUUUUUUUCCUCAAUUUUUCUUUGUUUUUCUUUUUCUUUUUGGUGGAUUUCGUCUUCCUUGUUUGCCGCCUCGACCGUUCUGCUUUGACCCUAAGUCUUGUGGCGCUUCCCUCUCCCGAACCCGUCUGCUGUCGUUACGCGUCCGAUACUUAUCACCGUUCUAUGCGCACUCCCACCCUCUCUCUUACUACCAGCCCUCGCCGCACGUGAGAAAACUACACAGCGACGUAGAACUCCGCCCCACCCCUCCCUCCUCUCCCAGUCUUGGCCCAGUCGUGCCUUGCACACACACACACACCUCCCUCCUCUCGGUGACUGAAGCUUGAAGAAAAUGGUGUCUCCAGCAGACUACCGGAUCAGCGAGAUCUCUCGCUUUCUCAUUCUCGUUGGAGGCGUCUGCGCCAGUACAUGCAUGUCCACCUUCUACGGUUUCAACAUUAUCAGCAAAAACCUUGCAGAUAUGUUCAACCUGACCGGUGCGGACCUGACCACGAUUACCACGAUAGGUAUCGUUAUCGGCUUCAUCACGUUUCCGUUUGGUAUGCUGCUUGAUCACAUGGGCCCCAUGUGGGUGUGCAUGUGUGCCUGUACGCUCAACGCUCUCGGUGCGCUUCUUUACGCCCUCACCUUCAACGGCAACAUCAAGGGUAACGUUCCCACGCUUGCCGUCUUCUGCGCCAUCAUGAACCUUGGCUGCUCCUCCUUCGACACGGGCUCCUUAAUGGCCGUGCUCGGCAGCUUUCCGCUGACGAAGGGCCCUGUUGUGGCCAUCAUGAAGACCUUCACUGGCCUUGGUGCGUCCAUCCUGGCCCUCAUCAACUACAGCUUCUUCCGGAAAAGUGAUGCGCACUACAUGUUCUUCAUGGCAGCGCUUAUUGUCUGCAUAGGCACCGUGGCAGUCAUCUUUAUCCGCUUUCCUCCCUACCACAUCCUUGAUCACGAGAAAACCCGCGUGCCGGAGAAGAUGCAGGUGCGCCGCCGCCUGACGGAGCGCGCCUACCUGACGCAGUACCCGCCGAUGACUCGCUUCUACCUUGGCUUUGGCAUCAUUAUUGCGCUUGUCACCUACCUGACAGUGCAGUCCUUCUGUGUAGCCUACGCAAACCCGAGCGACUCGGCGCGCAUGGGCAACACGGUCGUGAUCAUAGUGCUCGUCUUAUGCCUGGGCCUCAUGGCGGCCCCGCUCCCGUUUCUGGGCGGGAUGGAGAAGGAGCCUAGCAAAGACCUCCCCGACUACCCGGGGGACGAGGUGAUGAGCUUCGAGAACGAGGAUGAGAAGCGUGUGCUGCAGCCCACCGCCGAAGAAAUGGCCGAGGAUGAGAACGCGCUUGGUGAGCUGUACCUGAAGGACGCCCACUGUGAGGUCGACAAAAAGGGAAAGAAAACGUCGGACUCCUCUGAUGAGGUGCUGGCGCACCGGCAAGUCGACUCCGAGGAUGCCGUGAUGUUGGAGGACGAGAACAAGGCGCGCAUGAUGAUUUCCGACCAGGAUCCGCAGUAUCAGACGACCUUCUGGCAGAGCCUCAAGCGCCCCGACAUCUGGCUGUGCUGGUGGAACACGAUGGCGACCUGGGGCUGCGGCAUGGUCAUGGCCUUCAAUUCGGCUCAGAUCUACCAGUCAUUAUCGAAUAAUAAAUACGAAAAAAAGACGAACACGAUGUACUCUGCCAUCAUCAGCGUGGCGAGUGCGCUGGGCCGCCUGUCCAUGGGUAUCCUCGAGUUCAUGAUAAACCGCCAGCCCUCCGAGACGCGCCCGGUCAUCACCAUCGUUUAUCCGGUGGCCUCCAUCUGCAUGGUGGUCGGCCUCAUCUUCUUGCUGGCCCUCCCACUCGAGUCGAAGGCCAUCGUUAUUGGCUUCUUCUUCGAUUCCUUCGGCAACGGCUUCAGCUGGGCCUGCACGGCGCUGACGGUGCGCACGCUGUUCGCCAAGGACAUCGGCAAGCACUACAACUUCAUGUACGUCGGCGCCUUCAUUGCAGUCAUUGCGCUAAAUCGCUUUGGCUACGGUGAGAUGUAUGAUCGUCAGGCAAAGGCGAACCGCGAUGCCGACUUGGCUGCGGGCAGGACCCCCAUCUACCCCGUCUGCGCCGGCAAGAAGUGUGUCGCCAACGGCAUGAUUAUCCUGUUGUGUGUGAACGCAACGGCGAUUGUCGGUAGCACAUGGCUCCAUCUGCGCUACCGAAGGUUCGUUCUCAAGCACCGCGCUGAGAAGGCCGCUGCACGUGCGGAGAAACGCAGCCAGAGCGUUGAGCCUAUUCGCGCAGAAGACCUUCAGUAAGCGAUCCCCAUGUUUUUGAAGCGCUCGGAAGGAGGAGGCCCUCCCAUUACCUGUGUGAUUCAGGCGGGCACCUACCUCGUUCUUCCGCCCUUCGGCUCCCCCAGGUGAAAAUAGCUUUACAUCGUUGCACAAAAAAAGUGCAGCGAAGGUGAACGCUCUUAUUUUUCCAUCCUAGCCUGUACUCUGAGGACGAGAGUCACCGCAAGCUUGGCUGCAGGGCCCGUUGCAGCCACUCUGUCUGCCGAAGCCAAGAACGCCCCUCCCCCCUCCAACUCACACCCGCACACCUAUCCCUGCUGCAUGCCGAACCACUUGCGGUGGUGACAGGUGCAAGCAGCUACAAAGACGCUGGGCACGUCUGUACCAUUCAUAUGAUUUGCAGAGUGCCAGGGUGGCUUGAGCGUGUGUCUCGCCCGGCCCUCACUGCCCUUGCUGGUGAAGGGAGCCGGACCCACUCCGAGGAGGGGAUGCCCCCCGGGGGCGGCCAGCGCAGUGGAGGCGGCUGUGAGGCGACCUGCGAGGCGGGUGGGCGGCCAGCGUUAGAGGCAGGGGGCCGCGCUGAGGUGGCGGAGUCGGCGCAUUGCCGUAACGCGUGCGGCCUACGGCCGCUUCGCACCAGGCGGAUGGGGCCUGUGACAGACCGUCUCCAGGGUAGACUGCAUGCCGUGUGUGGGAGAGCGGGCACCUUGGAAGGGAAAAUAAAGACUGUGCUGAGCUGCACUUCCGUUUGAUCUUUGCUUUUACUUUUUGGAGGAAGGGGUGUAUGCCGCAGGUUUUUUAAUCUCCUCGUGCACCUCUCUCUUUCUCCGGCGGCAGCAGAAGACAGAGGAAGAAGCGCAUCCGGGGGGCAUCCGCCCCCCCCCCAUUCACCUGCAGUGGCACGCAGGAUGUCUUGUGUUCCUGGCGCUUUUGUCCAGUGUCAAGGAUUUUGUUUUUCGUUUGGGAUGACGACAGGAUGGCUCUUUCUCCCCUCCCCUCUCCAGCUCCCUCUCUUUUUUUUUCGCGUGAUCUUUCACGAUUUUUUUUUGCUCGAACUUCUUUUGUUCUUUUCAUCGUUUCUCUUUCCUUGUGCUUUUGAUCGCAUGUUGUUGUCGGUACGACACCAUCGGUUGUUCUAUCGUGCAUACACGAGGAAAAAAGGCAAAAAAGCUCACACAAACUCUCACACGCACACAAGACGCAAACUGAAAAAAAAAUGAUUGCUUGCAAGGCAUUCCCAUACACCGGCACCUCAGCUUCUCACGUACGCAAGAGAGAAGUGGAGGAGUAGGAGCACCGUCGAUGGAUCGUGCAUGCAUAGAUGUGAUCGGGGAGCGUUUUUUUUGUUUGCUUCCCCUCCCCCUGCUGGCUUUUCUCAUGAUUAUGUUUUCUGUUUUCGUCUGCGCCCUCCCUAUCUCUGUGAUUUCUUUUCUUAAAUAAACGUAUUCGUGUGUGUGUAUAUGUAUUGGAGCGUUUCGUUUGGUUCUUCAUGAUCCUUCGAUUCUUCUCUUGUGUUGCGGACCCCCACCCUCCUCUGUCUUCUCACUCCUUCUUCUUUCUUGUCUUCGUAUGCUCGUUAUACAACUGGCUGGAUGUCUGCGUUUUCCCCCUUUUCAGUUCUCACCGCUCGUGUGUGUUUUCAUAUAUGCCCGUCUUAUCGGCGCUCUGAAUGCUUUUUUUUUCCCGCUCGCUCGCUCGCUCGCUCUGCACACUGAUGAGACUCGGUCACGCGUGUGCGUGAGAGCGGGGGGCGGGGGGCACGUGCGCCUCUUCACGGCCCGCUCGAAAAGUCGCACACACACGGCGACGCAUAUCGAACAUAGAGGAAGAGGUGUGAGGUAAACUGGAAACGGCAAAUAAGUGGUACGCACGACGAAAACAAAAAAAAAGCCAGAAACGACGAAGAUAAAGCGAAGACUCUUUUUGGUUUCUGGCUUGUCAUGAUAGGGAAUGGGCGCAAGUGUAUGCUUGCUGCCACUCACACCUUGUGUCUCGUGGCAGCCAGUGCAAGACGCGUUGGGCAACCUAUCUGGUAUGAACAUACUUUUUUUUUCGGAUUUGCCGCGACGACUAACAUUCCACGGUGACGACAUGCAUGCAUGUUGCUUGACUAGAGCGACUCAUGAGGUAACGCCUGCGUCUCUAUCUCUUCCCCCAUCCCCCCACUCCAUCGCUGCCAGAAGCUUGAACUCAUGAAGGGAAAAAAUAUGAAGAGAGUGUCAAUGCCGAGAAGAAUAUAUGCAUCUCUUUAGACUGUUUUCUUGUGAUCAUUCUGGCCGUCAGGCUCGAAAGAUUGUAAGCGCGCCCAUUCUUUGUCCCUCUUACUUAAGCCGCACCAUUUGCGGGCCAGUUCUGUUUUCACUCCAGGUGUACGUGUGCAUGUGGGUGGCUGUCUUUUGCGCUGCUGCUGCUGUCCAUCUUUGCCUCGUCCGCUUUUCUUUCCCUGCUCUCUUUUACACUCCCUUCAUCCUCUUUGCUUACCGAAAGAGUGCGUGCGUGCCUGCCUGCCUGCCUCCCUGCCUGCCUGUGUGUGUGUGUGUUUGCUAAUUGGUUUUAGUUGUUGUUCUUGUUUGUUUUCUUGUUCUUUCUUCUAUUUCGCUCUUUUCUUUCGUUUUUCUUGCUUUGCCGAGUGUUGUACACUGCAUCGAAUUCUUUUUUUUUCUCAGCUUUCAAAGGCCUCGAUUUGUUCCCUCCUCCCUCCAUUUGUUCUCUCUCUUUUUUCUUUCUCCCUCGCCUGACGUUGUCCAUGUGUGGCUAAGUAAACGGCCUUUGCUAGAUUCACGAAAAAAAAAAAGAAAGGGCGGGAAGGAGGUGAGCUCUGCUCUCUCACGCCGGAGGCAUCUCGCGCACUCGCGCUCCUCCUCCUUUCCUUGCCUGUGCCUCUCCCCCUUUCUUUUCUGUGGCCGUUUCUUCUUGUCUCUCGUGUAGUGACGUACUCGUCUUCACCAUCUGCGGUGAGCUUGAUGAACGUCAUUGUUUUCUCGUUCAAGGAGUACUCAGAUGAGGGCGAUGGUAAUGGGAUCGCUAUCGAAACUGCAGGAGAGAGGAAGAGCGGGCUGCCUUUGACUGGAUGCGAUUUUCUCACGUGCUUUUGUUUGUGUGUCGUGAAGAUGAGGGGAGAGGGCGUAUGUGUGCGUGCGUGCCGUGACUGUGUCUCGCUGGCGCUCCCUCUUGAAGAAAAGAGCGUUGCGGAGAAGCAGAAAGGGAGUGAGGUGCAGCGAACGAGACGGGAAGAGUCACAGUGACCUCUCUCUUGCCUUGCGCUGCGCCUCCGUAUUCAUUCGCCUUGCUUUCAUGCGGCCAUUGCUAGGUAUGAUGGAGGAACACGCUUUUUCAGGUGCCGUACCCUCUCCCCCCAUCCGCACGCACAUGCACACCUCUCAGCCUCCCGUGCCUCCUUUUUUUUUCUUCGUCUUUGUUCUUGCUCGAUUGUGUGUUUGUGUGUGUGUGGUCGUGUGCUCAUGUCCGCCCCAUAAAACGGGGCGCCCUGUCACACGCUUGUUCUCCUUCUCUUUUCUUUUUUUUUUGCGAACUUUCUUCUCUUUUUUCGUUUACGCGCGGAACACAACUAAGCGAACCGAAUGCCUCUCAUGCCUCCCUUUGCAUAUAGAGAGAUCGAUCUAUAUAUGCGUGUGCACCACGAAGGGUUCCUUUCUUACUUUUUUUUGUCUGCGUGCAUGUGCCCGUGCGUUUGCCUUCUCUCUCUCUACCUACCUACCUAUCGCAUUCGAGGUGCAGAGGAAAAAGGGGGACAGGAGAUUUAUGCGACGUGUCAUGGUAAUCUCUCUCUCUCGUCCUCACUCCGGCUGCGUCUGCACGGGCGCCCUGACAUCUGCUUUUUUUUUUUCGGCGCUUGCGGCGGAAUCACCAUGGCACGCAGAACUACUUGAAAUGACAGUAUAGAACGUGCAGGGGAGAUCGUCGUUUUUGAGCCAACCAGCGAGGACAGAGAAGGACAACGUCGCGAAGCGUGUGGAACAGUGAAGUAGCCAAAGGCACAGCGGAUAAGCAGAGAAUAUCGAGAGGGAAAAAAGAUGUUGCAUUGCGCGCACACACACACACACACACACACACACAGACAGAUGUAUAGCGACGGCGGGAAUGCCGACCGCGGACCUCUUCUCGCUUCCGUGUCUGAGCGCACAAACCUCGAGCAUGCAGCGAAGACUCCUCUUCUGCUGCACACCGCAUCUCUCCCUCUCUCUUGUGUUUUCGCCUCGCUCUGAAUGCUCUUUGCCCCACGCCGACCCCUCUCUAGCGUUUAUACGUUUUUUUUUUUUGCGCUGUUUACUCUCCGUUUUCCUACUGUUAUACGUCAGCGAGAUGUCAGGCGCACUCCCGACGAAAGUGCCAUGCGAAGCGGCGCUUUCACUCAAAAAAAAAAGGAGGUGACGUUUCAGGAUGCAGGAAGCGAACGAG